rnacentral:rRNA from 1 species
UACAGAGGGUGCGAGCGUUAAUCGGAAUUACUGGGCGUAAAGCGCGCGUAGGCGGCUUUUCAAGUCGAUUGUGAAAUCCCCGGGCUUAACCGAGGAAGUGCAUCCGAAACUGAGUCGCUAGAGUACGAUAGAGGGUCGCGGAAUUCCCGGUGUAGAGGUGAAAUUCGUAGAUAUCGGGAGGAACACCGGUGGCGAGGGCGGCGACCUGGGUCGAUACUGACGCUGAGGAGCGAAAGCAUGGGGAGCGAACAGG